CUGAUCCAGCGACGCCGCGUGUGUGAAGAAGGCCUGCGGGUUGUAAAGCACUUUUAGUGGGGACAAAAAGCUACGGAUUAAUACCCUGUGGUCUUGAUUUAACCCAAAGAAAAAGCACCGGCUAACUCUGUGCCAGCAGCCGCGGUAAUACAGAGGGUGCGAGCGUCAAUCGGAAUUACUGGGCGUAAAGCGCGCGUAGACGGUUUUGUAAGUCAGAUGUGAAAUCCCUGGGCUCAAUCUGGGAACUGCAUUUGAGACUGCAUGGCUAGAGUAUCGAAGAGGGAAUUGGAAUUUCCGGUGUAGCGGUGAAAUGCGUAGAUAUCGGAAGGAACACCAGUGGCGAAAGCGACUUCCUGGUCGAAUACUGACGUUCAUGUGCGAAAGCGUGGGGAGCAAACAGGAUUAGAUACCCUGGUAGUCCACGCCAUAAACGAUGACAACUAGAUGUUGGGAGGGUCUGCCUCUCGGUGUCGCAGCUAACGCGUUAAGUUGUCCGCCUGGGGAGUACGGCCGCAAGGUUG
rnacentral:rRNA from 1 species